AAUGUUGUUUUUUCGCAUGCAAUUCUUUCUAGGAGGCUACAACCAUUCCGGUGACCAUUCUAUACCUUUUCCGCAAAAUGGUGCGCGAGCCUUUCGAGGUAAGCCACUGUUUUGUAUAUAAUAUUUUAUCUAAAACCCACCAUGAAAAACCACAACAGAAACGAAACCAAGAAAAUAAAACUCGUGACGGAGGAUAUCUUGGCUCCCACAUCGAUGAAGAACGCAGCGAAAUGCGAUACGUAGUGUGAAUUGCAGAACACGUGAGUCAUCGAAUCUUUGAACGCAAGUGGUGCUCGCGGGCAAUCCUGCGAGCAUGUCUGUUUGAGUGUCCGCACAAAUUACUCGCACCCUUUUGUUCUUUUUGCUUUGGAAUUUAUUCCGAGGUAGGAAGUGAGAAAGGGGGCGGCGAUUGGGUUUUUAAUCUGCUUCACUGCGGAAGACCCGGAAAGCAGUGCUUGGAAAAUGGUACGGGGGUUUCGGCUCUUCGUGUCCUUCCGUGUGCGUUAACAUGUCUGCGCGACUAUCUAGCGCGGAAAACCAGUGUUUAAAACCAGCAAGCAAUGCGUGGUGCUUUUGUAGCGUCCGCUGCGCUGAGAAGAAAGGAAGUCUGGACGGGAUCAACGUUUCGGAGCUCUCUGCUGGGAAGUAACUACAUUCCAGGGGGGCGACGAGAUUGCGGAUGUUUUGUGCCAAACUGCCAUGAAAAAACUUUUCGGGGCACACGGCGGGAAUAGUCCGGCUGGAGGAGGAGUUCAUUUCAUAUGGACGCAUUCUCUGGUUGGAAUUCUGCGGUGUAAAAGGCGGUGCGUGAAGGGGUGCUGUACACUACAUGCGCAGUGCGUCACUGGCGGACUUUAUUUUUUGGAUCUCAAAUCAGGCAAGACUACCCGCUGAACUUAAGCAUAUGGAUCCCGGGGG
rnacentral:rRNA from 1 species